rnacentral:lncRNA from 1 species
AGCACAUUUGAUGGAUGAACAAAUGGACAGGACAGAUAAGAUGGCUAGACACUCAGAAAUAAAUAGAUCCAUUUGCUUGAUAGUGUCAGCAGAUGAUCCACUUUGCUGAGCCAAUACCUUCCUGUUACAGAAGAAUGGAUUCUCUUCUAGUUCCAUAACAAUGGCAGCACCUAUCACCUUGAAGGCUGUAGAGGGCAAAGUGAUGGACAUCUUAGCCAGAAGACUCAUCUGGCUCGACUGUGUAUGACUGAUUGGAAUGGGGCAAGACUGGAGGCAGAGAGGCCCAAUGGAAGUAUUGCGACCUGAACCAAGUCACGAUGGGAAAGGAAGAAAGGAUGGCUUCAAGAGAUAAUGAAAUCGAGUCUCAGAGUGGUGAAGUGACUUGCAGAAGAUUUCAGCUAAUAGUUCCUAACUGGGCCUCAGAACCACAUCUUCUGUCUCUAGGACCCAAGCUCUUUGUAUAACACCAGAUGGCUUCCUGGUCUCCAGGAGAAGAUCUACUCCAGAAGCUUUGCAAUGUUUCCUUCCUGGAUUAUACAUGUUUUCAAGAGGUCUUCUCAGUGGACCCUCUAUCUGUGUCUGAGACCAGAACACUCAAGGGCCUGUAGGAGUCCUCUCUCCACAGACCCUUGAUUCACAGUUGCUUUCCCAAGAUCCUCACCCAUUUUCACAUCAAGGUCCUGUCCUACAUCAGUGCAACUUCACCAAGGCCACAUUCUGGUCCUUGAGGCAUCUCUCUUGUUGUUAUGACCUUCUCACGCUCCCUGUGCACCCACAAGAUUCUUGGCUGGACAACUAUAUAUCAUAGUCUGGCAAGCCCUGAGAUAUUUCUAAAUUUAGCCUAAUAUUUAUAUUUCUCUUCUAUAUCCUAGAAAUGUCAUUGCAUGUACUAAGCAGCUUUCUGGAGCCCAACUUCAAAUCAGGCAUACACACCUUUCUUGACUUAUGUGGGGGUUACAUCCUGAUAGAUCCAUCAUACAUUGAAAAUAUCAUAAGCUGAAAAUGUAUUUAAUACACUUAACCUACUAAACAUCAUAGCUUAGCCUAACCUACCUUAAAUGUGCUCAGAAAACUUACAUUAGCCUACAGUUGGGCAAAAUCAUCUAACACAAAGCCUAUUUU